rnacentral:lncRNA from 1 species
CCCCGGCGCCGGCACGCGGACCCGAACGAGGCGACAAGGUCGGUCCUCCCCCGCCGGGCCUUCCCCGCGCUCCCCGGCGCCCCCAGCCCGCUGACCCCCGGCCAGGCAGGCCCGCGGGGGAGGCAGGACCGGAGCCCUGAGGACCUGGCCGGCCUCGGGGUUGAGGCUCAGCUCGGGAUAAGUGAUCUUUGGGGCCCGCAGAGGACGUCUCCCCAAGACCCAGUGGCAACCGGGGCACCACUGAGUUCAGUACUUCAAAAUUGCCGUGCUCUACCUCUCCCCAGUGCACAGAAACACUCUCCACACCAAGCUGCUGCUGCUGGGGGAUGGAGGGAUGGCGUCAGCGAUUCAAGACUGUUUUUCCUACCUGUUCAGCACUUCUUUCAGCGAUAUGAAGUUAAAUCCAGG